rnacentral:rRNA from 1 species
GGAUUAGAUACCCUGGUAGUCCACGCCGUAAACGAUGGGCACUAGGUGUCGGCGGUUCUUAAUCCGUCGGUGCCGGCGCUAACGCAGUAAGUGCCCCGCCUGGGGAGUACGGUCGCAAGGCUGAAACUCAAACGAAUUGACGGGGGCCCGCACAAGCGGUGGAGCAUGUGGUUUAAUUCGACGCAACGCGAAGAACCUUACCUAGGUUUGACAUGGACAGGACCGCCGGUGAAAGUCGGUUUCCCUUCGGGGCCUGUUCACAGGUGCUGCAUGGCUGUCGUCAGCUCGUGUUG